GCGGACGUGGCGGAACGGUAGACGCAGCGGACUUAAAAUCCGUUUCCCCGAGGGAGUGUGGGUUCGAGUCCCACCGUCCGCACCA
rnacentral:tRNA from 1 species